rnacentral:rRNA from 1 species
GGAAGUAAAAGUCGUAACAAGGUUUCCGUAGGUGAACCUGCGGAAGGAUCAUUACUGAUUUAGCGAACCGAGCGUUAGCGAGGUUUUGCGAUCAACUUGUAUUUAAAACCCACUCUUCAAUGUAUAAAAUUUGUAUUAAUGAUAAAUUAAAAGAUCACUUUCAACAACGGAUCUCUUGGCUCUCGCAUCGAUGAAGAACGUAGCGAAGUGCGAUAAGUAAUGUGAAUUGCAGUAUUCCGUGAAUCAUCGAACCUUUGGACGCAUAUUGCACUUUCUGGUAUUCCGGAAAGUAUGCCUGUUUGAGGGUCAGUUAAAUAAAAAUCGGUGUUGUUGCCGCUUUCCGUGGUGACGCGUCGGAAUUGAGUCGUCUUCGGUUAAGUGACUUAAAAUUUUAUAUGAUUUUCGAACGUAUUUAAAUUUAUUUGAACGUUUGAUAUCGAAUGCUUAUUAGGUUCGGUCAUCCUCAUGACUCGCGCCUAUAAUUUUUCAUUAAAUGACCUCAAAUCAGGUAAGAAUACCCGCUGAACUUAAGCAUAUCAAUAAGCGGAGGA